rnacentral:rRNA from 1 species
UACGUAGGGGGCAAGCGUUAUCCGGAUUUACUGGGUGUAAAGGGAGCGUAGACGGUGAUGUAAGUCAGAUGUGAAAGCCCGGGGCUCAACCCCGGGACUGCAUUUGAAACUAUGUUGCUAGAGUGCAGGAGAGGCAAGUGGAAUUCCUAGUGUAGCGGUGAAAUGCGUAGAUAUCAAGAGGAACACCAGUGGCGAAGGCGAGUCCCUGGACGAUACCUGACACUGAGGCACGAAAGCUAGGGGAGCAAACAGG